rnacentral:rRNA from 1 species
AACACAAACCCCGGCGCUGAAUGCGUCAAGGAAUUUUAAAUUUGCCUUGAGCGCACCUGCAUGGCACCGGAGACGGUUUUCGUGUGGGUUGUGCUCUGACACAUAAUAUAGAAUGACUCUCGGCAACGGAUAUCUAGGCUCUUGCAUCGAUGAAGAACGUAGCGAAAUGCGAUACUUGGUGUGAAUUGCAGAAUCCCGUGAACCAUCGAGUCUUUGAACGCAAGUUGCGCCCGAUGCCAUUAAGGUUGAGGGCACGUCUGCCUGGGCGUCACAUAUCGAAGUCUCUUGACAAUUUCCUUUUGAUAGGUGUUGUGCAGGGGGAAUGUUGGCCUCCCGUGAGCUUCAUCGUCUCAUGGUUGGUUGAAAAUCGAGACCUUGGUAGGGUGUGCCAUGAUAGAUGGUGGCUGUGUUACGCACGAUACCAAGUCAUGUGCUGCUCUAUUGAAUUUAGCCUCUUUUACCCACAUGCGUUUCUAAACGCUCGUGAUGAGACCUCAGGUCAGGCGGGGCUACCCGCUGAAUUUAAGCAUAUCAAUAAGCGGAGGAAAAGAAACUAACAAGGAUUCC